rnacentral:rRNA from 1 species
GUUAGUAAUAUUGGACAAUGGGCGCAAGCCUGAUCCAGCCAUGCCGCGUGAGUGAUGAAGGCCUUCGGGUUGUAAAGCUCUUUAGCCGAUGAUUAUAAUGACUGUAGUCGGAAAAUAAGCCCCGGCUAACUUCGUGCCAGCAGCCGCGGUAAUACGAAGGGGGCGAGCGUUAUUCGGAAUCACUGGGCGUAAAGCGUGCGUAGGCGGCUUUGCAAGUCGGGAGUGAAAGCCCAGGGCUCAACCCUGGAAUUGCCCUCAAAACUGCAAGGCUCGAAUUCGGGAGAGGAUAGCGGAAUUGUCAGUGUAGCAGUGAAAUGCGUAGAUAUUGACAGGAACACCAGUGGCGUAAGCGGCUAUCUGGACCGAUAUUGACGCUGAGGCACGAAAGCGUGGGGAUCAAACAGGAUUAGAAACCCUUGUAGUCC